CUGUGAGCUCGAUGAGUAGGGCGGGACACGUGGUAUCCUGUCUGAAUAUGGGGGGACCAUCCUCCAAGGCUAAAUACUCCUGACUGACCGAUAGUGAACCAGUACCGUGAGGGAAAGGCGAAAAGAACCCCGGCGAGGGGAGUGAAAAAGAACCUGAAACCGUGUACGUACAAGCAGUGGGAGCACGCUUCGGCGUGUGACUGCGUACCUUUUGUAUAAUGGGUCAGCGACUUAUAUUCUGUAGCAAGGUUAACCGAAUAGGGGAGCCGAAGGGAAACCGAGUCUUAACUGGGCGUUAAGUUGCAGGGUAUAGACCCGAAACCCGGUGAUCUAGCCAUGGGCAGGUUGAAGGUUGGGUAACACUAACUGGAGGACCGAACCGACUAAUGUUGAAAAAUUAGCGGAUGACUUGUGGCUGGGGGUGAAAGGCCAAUCAAACCGGGAGAUAGCUGGUUCUCCCCGAAAGCUAUUUAGGUAGCGCCUCGUGAAUUCAUCUCCGGGGGUAGAGCACUGUUUCGGCAAGGGGGUCAUCCCGACUUACCAACCCGAUGCAAACUGCGAAUACCGGAGAAUGUUAUCACGGGAGACACACGGCGGGUGCUAACGUCCGUCGUGAAGAGGGAAACAACCCAGACCGCCAGCUAAGGUCCCAAAGUCAUGGUUAAGUGGGAAACGAUGUGGGAAGGCCCAGACAGCCAGGAUGUUGGCUUAGAAGCAGCCAUCAUUUAAAGAAAGCGUAAUAGCUCACUGGUCGAGUCGGCCUGCGCGGAAGAUGUAACGGGGCUAAACCAUGCACCGAAGCUGCGGCAGCGACACUAUGUGUUGUUGGGUAGGGGAGCGUUCUGUAAGCCUGUGAAGGUGUACUGUGAGGUAUGCUGGAGGUAUCAGAAGUGCGAAUGCUGACAUAAGUAACGAUAAAGCGGGUGAAAAGCCCGCUCGCCGGAAGACCAAGGGUUCCUGUCCAACGUUAAUCGGGGCAGGGUGAGUCGACCCCUAAGGCGAGGCCGAAAGGCGUAGUCGAUGGGAAACAGGUUAAUAUUCCUGUACUUGGUGUUACUGCGAAGGGGGGACGGAGAAGGCUAUGUUGGCCGGGCGACGGUUGUCCCGGUUUAAGCGUGUAGGCUGGUUUUCCAGGCAAAUCCGGAAAAUCAAGGCUGAGGCGUGAUGACGAGGCACUACGGUGCUGAAGCAACAAAUGCCCUGCUUCCAGGAAAAGCCUCUAAGCAUCAGGUAACAUCAAAUCGUACCCCAAACCGACACAGGUGGUCAGGUAGAGAAUACCAAGGCGCUUGAGAGAACUCGGGUGAAGGAACUAGGCAAAAUGGUGCCGUAACUUCGGGAGAAGGCACGCUGAUAUGUAGGUGAAGCGACUUGCUCGUGGAGCUGAAAUCAGUCGAAGAUACCAGCUGGCUGCAACUGUUUAUUAAAAACACAGCACUGUGCAAACACGAAAGUGGACGUAUACGGUGUGACGCCUGCCCGGUGCCGGAAGGUUAAUUGAUGGGGUUAGCGCAAGCGAAGCUCUUGAUCGAAGCCCCGGUAAACGGCGGCCGUAACUAUAACGGUCCUAAGGUAGCGAAAUUCCUUGUCGGGUAAGUUCCGACCUGCACGAAUGGCGUAAUGAUGGCCAGGCUGUCUCCACCCGAGACUCAGUGAAAUUGAACUCGCUGUGAAGAUGCAGUGUACCCGCGGCAAGACGGAAAGACCCCGUGAACCUUUACUAUAGCUUGACACUGAACAUUGAGCCUUGAUGUGUAGGAUAGGUGGGAGGCUUUGAAGUGUGGACGCCAGUCUGCAUGGAGCCGACCUUGAAAUACCACCCUUUAAUGUUUGAUGUUCUAACGUUGGCCCCUGAUCGGGGUUGCGGACAGUGUCUGGUGGGUAGUUUGACUGGGGCGGUCUCCUCCUAAAGAGUAACGGAGGAGCACGAAGGUUGGCUAAUCCUGGUCGGACAUCAGGAGGUUAGUGCAAUGGCAUAAGCCAGCUUGACUGCGAGCGUGACGGCGCGAGCAGGUGCGAAAGCAGGUCAUAGUGAUCCGGUGGUUCUGAAUGGAAGGGCCAUCGCUCAACGGAUAAAAGGUACUCCGGGGAUAACAGGCUGAUACCGCCCAAGAGUUCAUAUCGACGGCGGUGUUUGGCACCUCGAUGUCGGCUCAUCACAUCCUGGGGCUGAAGUAGGUCCCAAGGGUAUGGCUGUUCGCCAUUUAAAGUGGUACGCGAGCUGGGUUUAGAACGUCGUGAGACAGUUCGGUCCCUAUCUGCCGUGGGCGCUGGAGAACUGAGGGGGGCUGCUCCUAGUACGAGAGGACCGGAGUGGACGCAUCACUGGUGUUCGGGUUGUCAUGCCAAUGGCACUGCCCGGUAGCUAAAUGCGGAAGAGAUAAGUGCUGAAAGCAUCUAAGCACGAAACUUGCCCCGAGAUGAGUUCUCCCUGACUCCCUGAGAGUCCUGAAGGAACGUUGAAGACGACGACGUUGAUAGGCCGGGUGUGUAAGCGCAGCGAUGCGUUGAGCUAACCGGUACUAAUGAACCGUGAGGCUUAACCUU
rnacentral:rRNA from 1 species